GUACCUGUAGCGCAACGGUUAGCGCGUUGGACUUCUAAUCCAAAGGUCGUGAGUUCGAAUACCACCUGGGAUG